UAGGUCCCAUGCCCAUCGCUUUGGGGUAAUUCAGCUUUAUGUUUAUAAAUUUAUAAAUUUAUCUUUAGAGAUCUGUCUUCAGAACACAAUCACAUCACUGACACAGCAAAGGGGGUAGAAGAACGUCAGACAGCUCAUGGCCAAGGAAGAGAUGCAGAAGAGGAGCUGGAAAAGCUCUCAGAUCCAGAGACAGCGGAACGAGGCCGACCAAGAAUCACGGUGCUGUUCAUUUCAGACAUGGGAGCAGAAGACAAGAUUUCAGACUCAUACACACUGCGACCCCAUGCCCGACUUCAAAAAAACAGUGAUUCAUCCAGACACCAAAGCUCAGCAGCUCAGAGUCAACCUCAAAUAUAGUCAAAGCUCACCAAGUGCUCCCCCAAGAAAAAUAGAACCUAAGUGCCUGACGACCUUUACCGCAGGCAUAUUUUUAGGGACGUGCCUAUCCCGUAUACUUCUUGCUCCCUCACGUAGAAGGAAAUCUCUAGAAUAACACCUCCAACUGAGCCUCUCUUCCUCCAACUCUCUUGCUCCCCAGCCCAUGGAGGAUGGAUAGGGCCAUCGUAGGAGAAACAGUGUGUGAGACAUGGCUUCUUCACGAUGACUGCGAGGCUCAGCACCCCGAUGUUGGGUGGCCCAAGCCGCCAUGACUCGACGAACUUUUACAUUCUCAAAGUUGCAAUGAAUGAAAAGCCUUCUCCAACCUCGAGCAGGGGAACUAACUGAGUCUUGGAACAUAGAAGGCAAUUCCUGGCUUUAUUCUUACUGCUGUCAACGUGGUUUAUGCAAAAACACAGGGUGGGAUUUAUAAAAAUGUGUCUAAAACCUAAUCUCUGUGCUGAGCAGUUGGGGAGAUUGAAACAAUUUACAUCCCAUCUCUUUCAACUUUUGUCCAUGUAUUUAGAUGCUUUUGGGGGGAUCCCAUCACUUUCAGCUUUUAUCCAUUGGGGGGGGGGGGUCUUCUCCUAUUUUGCUUCCAAAUGGGUAACGUGCAUGAAGACUAACAAACACAGUGUCCAUAUCAUUGUCCCCGUAACCCAGCCACAGAUUAUGUAGACUGAUACAGAAGAACAGCUGAUGGAUGACAGAAAAGCAAGGAUUCAUGACUCGGUUUUUAGGGAUGUGGGGUUGGCACACUCCUUGAGACAAUUUCCGCCUAUCAAGCAAACUCCACGUAAGAAAGCGUUGUAUCCAUGGCACUGACUUCUCCAUGAAAGGAAGCAGAAGACCUUAUAAUACCUCCAUCCCCCAACUUUGUAAGGCCGUCAUCCAAAGAAGGGUCUGGAAGACCAUUACCCUCAAAGCACUAAGCAUGGAGAACCAUACAUUGUCCUAUGACAUGGUUGAUCCCGACAAUUCAAUACCAUUUACCAUUAACCACACAACAAAAUAUAUAUCAAAAUAUGUAUCAUAUCAAUAAAUAUGGUGGACAAAUAUGUUCA
rnacentral:lncRNA from 1 species